ACUCCUACGGGAGGCAGCAGUGGGGAAUAUUGGACAAUGGGCGAAAGCCUGAUCCAGCCAUGCCGCGUGUGUGAAGAAGGUCUUCGGAUUGUAAAGCACUUUAAGUUGGGAGGAAGGGCAGUAAGUUAAUACCUUGCUGUUUUGACGUUACCGACAGAAUAAGCACCGGCUAACUCUGUGCCAGCAGCCGCGGUAAUACAGAGGGUGCAAGCGUUAAUCGGAAUUACUGGGCGUAAAGCGCGCGUAGGUGGUUUGUUAAGUUGGAUGUGAAAGCCCCGGGGCUCAACCUGGGAACUGCAUCCAAAACUGGCAAGCUAGAGUACGGUAGAGGGUGGUGGAAUUUCCUGUGUAGCGGUGAAAUGCGUAGAUAUAGGAAGGAACACCAGUGGCGAAGGCGACCACCUGGACUGAUACUGACACUGAGGUGCGAAAGCGUGGGGAGCAAACAGGAUUAGA
rnacentral:rRNA from 1 species